UACAGAGGUGCCAAGCGUUGUCCGGAUUUAUUGGGCGUAAAGAGCGUGUAGGCGGCUUCACAGGUCCGCUGUGAAAACUCGAGGCUCAACCUCGAGAUGUCGGUGGAAACCGUGUGGCUAGAGUCCGGAAGAGGAGAGUGGAAUUCCCGGUGUAGCGGUGAAAUGCGCAGAUAUCGGGAAGAACACCCGUGGCGAAGGCGGCUCUCUGGGACGGUACUGACGCUGAGACGCGAAAGCGUGGGGAGCGAACAGG
rnacentral:rRNA from 1 species